GUCUUUUUGAUUAUAAUUUAAAGUCUAACCUGCCCAAUGAGUAUUUGAAUGGCCGCGGUAAUUUGACCGUGCAAAGGUAGCAUAAUCAUUAGUUUUUUAAUUGAAAGCUGGAAUGAACGGUUGGACGAGAAAGUGACUGUCUCAAUUUAAUUUAAUUUGGAACUUUAUUUUUAAGUAAAAAAGCUUAAAUUUAUUUAAAAGACGAGAAGACCCUAUAGAAUUUAAUACUUCAUGAUUUAGAGAGUUUUUAGCAUUAUUAUUGACUUAGAUUUUAAAGUGUUUUGUUGGGGUGACGGAAAAAUUUAAUAAACUUUUUUUUGUUUUAUCAUUAAUUUAUGAAUUUUUGAUCCAUUUAAGUAUGAUUAUAAGAUAAAAUUACCUUAGGGAUAACAGCGUAAUUUUUCUUGAGAGUUCUUAUCGAAAGAAGAGUUUGCGACCUCGAUGUUGGAUUAAAGUUAACUUACGGUGUAGGAGCUGUAACGUUAGGUCUGUUCGACCUUUAAAACUUUACAUGAUCUGAGU
rnacentral:rRNA from 1 species